AAGAGUAUAAAGAAUUCAAUCCAUCAAACACUGUACUCAUUGAUGAUUCUCAGUACAAAUCUUUUUUAAAUCCUGAUCAUAAUUUGAUCAUCCCUAUGACGUAUAAAGGAGGUCCAGAUAACUAUUUGGAUCAAAACAAUAAAUUUGUUAGUUACUUGGAGACGUUGGCUGCAGCAAAAGAUGUUCAAGAACACAUCAAAAGCAUUCCUUUUGGUGAGAUUGACCUUGAAACUAAAGCAGAUGAAGAGUGCUACAGAAAUUCUGCCAAAAAAAUGAAACAGAUCUUGAAUUGAUAUAAAAAAUAUUAAUAGCAGUCAUGAUGAAUUGGUCAAAAAGUAAAGUUUGUCUGUUGAAUCACACCUAAAAGUAAAGAG